rnacentral:rRNA from 1 species
GGUUAAGCGACUAAGCGUACACGGUGGAUGCCCUGGCAGUCAGAGGCGAUGAAGGACGUGCUAAUCUGCGAUAAGCGUCGGUAAGGUGAUAUGAACCGUUAUAACCGGCGAUUUCCGAAUGGGGAAACCCAGUGUGUUUCGACACACUAUCAUUAACUGAAUCCAUAGGUUAAUGAGGCGAACCGGGGGAACUGAAACAUCUAAGUACCCCGAGGAAAAGAAAUCAACCGAGAUUCCCCCAGUAGCGGCGAGCGAACGGGGAGCAGCCCAGAGCCUGAAUCAGUGUGUGUGUUAGUGGAAGCGUCUGGAAAGGCGCGCGAUACAGGGUGACAGCCCCGUACACAAAAAUGCACAUGCUGUGAGCUCGAUGAGUAGGGCGGGACACGUGGUAUCCUGUCUGAAUAUGGGGGGACCAUCCUCCAAGGCUAAAUACUCCUGACUGACCGAUAGUGAACCAGUACCGUGAGGGAAAGGCGAAAAGAACCCCGGCGAGGGGAGUGAAAAAGAACCUGAAACCGUGUACGUACAAGCAGUGGGAGCCUCUUUUAUGGGGUGACUGCGUACCUUUUGUAUAAUGGGUCAGCGACUUAUAUUCUGUAGCAAGGUUAACCGAAUAGGGGAGCCGAAGGGAAACCGAGUCUUAACUGGGCGUUAAGUUGCAGGGUAUAGACCCGAAACCCGGUGAUCUAGCCAUGGGCAGGUUGAAGGUUGGGUAACACUAACUGGAGGACCGAACCGACUAAUGUUGAAAAAUUAGCGGAUGACUUGUGGCUGGGGGUGAAAGGCCAAUCAAACCGGGAGAUAGCUGGUUCUCCCCGAAAGCUAUUUAGGUAGCGCCUCGUGAAUUCAUCUCCGGGGGUAGAGCACUGUUUCGGCAAGGGGGUCAUCCCGACUUACCAACCCGAUGCAAACUGCGAAUACCGGAGAAUGUUAUCACGGGAGACACACGGCGGGUGCUAACGUCCGUCGUGAAGAGGGAAACAACCCAGACCGCCAGCUAAGGUCCCAAAGUCAUGGUUAAGUGGGAAACGAUGUGGGAAGGCCCAGACAGCCAGGAUGUUGGCUUAGAAGCAGCCAUCAUUUAAAGAAAGCGUAAUAGCUCACUGGUCGAGUCGGCCUGCGCGGAAGAUGUAACGGGGCUAAACCAUGCACCGAAGCUGCGGCAGCGACGCUUAUGCGUUGUUGGGUAGGGGAGCGUUCUGUAAGCCUGUGAAGGUGUGCUGUGAGGCAUGCUGGAGGUAUCAGAAGUGCGAAUGCUGACAUAAGUAACGAUAAAGCGGGUGAAAAGCCCGCUCGCCGGAAGACCAAGGGUUCCUGUCCAACGUUAAUCGGGGCAGGGUGAGUCGACCCCUAAGGCGAGGCCGAAAGGCGUAGUCGAUGGGAAACAGGUUAAUAUUCCUGUACUUGGUGUUACUGCGAAGGGGGGACGGAGAAGGCUAUGUUGGCCGGGCGACGGUUGUCCCGGUUUAAGCGUGUAGGCUGGUUUUCCAGGCAAAUCCGGAAAAUCAAGGCUGAGGCGUGAUGACGAGGCACUACGGUGCUGAAGCAACAAAUGCCCUGCUUCCAGGAAAAGCCUCUAAGCAUCAGGUAACAUCAAAUCGUACCCCAAACCGACACAGGUGGUCAGGUAGAGAAUACCAAGGCGCUUGAGAGAACUCGGGUGAAGGAACUAGGCAAAAUGGUGCCGUAACUUCGGGAGAAGGCACGCUGAUAUGUAGGUGAAGCGACUUGCUCGUGGAGCUGAAAUCAGUCGAAGAUACCAGCUGGCUGCAACUGUUUAUUAAAAACACAGCACUGUGCAAACACGAAAGUGGACGUAUACGGUGUGACGCCUGCCCGGUGCCGGAAGGUUAAUUGAUGGGGUCAGCGCAAGCGAAGCUCUUGAUCGAAGCCCCGGUAAACGGCGGCCGUAACUAUAACGGUCCUAAGGUAGCGAAAUUCCUUGUCGGGUAAGUUCCGACCUGCACGAAUGGCGUAAUGAUGGCCAGGCUGUCUCCACCCGAGACUCAGUGAAAUUGAACUCGCUGUGAAGAUGCAGUGUACCCGCGGCAAGACGGAAAGACCCCGUGAACCUUUACUAUAGCUUGACACUGAACAUUGAGCCUUGAUGUGUAGGAUAGGUGGGAGGCUUUGAAGUGUGGACGCCAGUCUGCAUGGAGCCGACCUUGAAAUACCACCCUUUAAUGUUUGAUGUUCUAACGUUGACCCGUAAUCCGGGUUGCGGACAGUGUCUGGUGGGUAGUUUGACUGGGGCGGUCUCCUCCUAAAGAGUAACGGAGGAGCACGAAGGUUGGCUAAUCCUGGUCGGACAUCAGGAGGUUAGUGCAAUGGCAUAAGCCAGCUUGACUGCGAGCGUGACGGCGCGAGCAGGUGCGAAAGCAGGUCAUAGUGAUCCGGUGGUUCUGAAUGGAAGGGCCAUCGCUCAACGGAUAAAAGGUACUCCGGGGAUAACAGGCUGAUACCGCCCAAGAGUUCAUAUCGACGGCGGUGUUUGGCACCUCGAUGUCGGCUCAUCACAUCCUGGGGCUGAAGUAGGUCCCAAGGGUAUGGCUGUUCGCCAUUUAAAGUGGUACGCGAGCUGGGUUUAGAACGUCGUGAGACAGUUCGGUCCCUAUCUGCCGUGGGCGCUGGAGAACUGAGGGGGGCUGCUCCUAGUACGAGAGGACCGGAGUGGACGCAUCACUGGUGUUCGGGUUGUCAUGCCAAUGGCACUGCCCGGUAGCUAAAUGCGGAAGAGAUAAGUGCUGAAAGCAUCUAAGCACGAAACUUGCC